rnacentral:lncRNA from 1 species
UGAGAAACUGGCUGCUCAUGGUUUGGACUGGCAUACUCUUCGUUGGGUUACAAACUGGCUGGGUAGCUGGGCCUGAAGAGUUGUGGUGAAUGGAGUCAAAUCCAGUCGUAGGUCAGUCACUAGUGGCAUCCCCCAGGGCUCAGUACUAGGGCCAAUCCUCUUUAAUAUCUUUAUCAAUGAUCUGGAUGAGGGGAUCGAGUGCACCUUCAGUAAGUUUGCAGCUGACACCAAGGCGCCAUCUUGACACAAGGUGCGUGCGUCGAUCUGCUCGAGGGUAGGAAGGCUCUGCAGGAGGAUCUGGAUAGGCUGGUCUGAUGGGCUGAGGCCAAAUGUAUGAAGUUCAACAGGGCCAAGUGCCAGGUCCUGCACCUGGGGCGCAACAACCCCAAGCAGAGCUACAGGAUGGGAGAUGAGUGGUUGGAAAGCUGUCUGGCAGAGAAGGACCUGGGAGUAUUGGCUGAUAGUCAGCUGAAUACAUGUAUGAGCCAGCAGUGUGCUCAGGUUGCCAAGAAGGCCAACAGCAUCCCUGCAUGUAUAAAAAGCACUGUGCCCAACAGAUCUAGGGAAGUGAUUGUCCCCCUGUACUCAGCUCUGGUGAGGCCACACCUCAAGUACUGUGUUCAGUUUUGGGCCCCUCACUACAAGAAGGACAUGGAGGUGCUUGAGAGAGUCCAGAGAAGGGCAAUGAAGCUGGUGAGGGGUCUGGAGAACAAGUCCUACGAGGAGCAGCUGAGGGAGCUGGGCUUGUUCGGCCUGGAGAAGAGGAGGCUCAGGGAUGGCUUUAUUGCUCUCAGUAGGUACGUUAAAGGAGGCUGUAGCAAGGUGGGGAUUGGUCUAUUCUCCCACGUGCCUGGUGACAGGAUGAGGGGGAAUGGGCUGAAGUUGUGCCAGGGGAGUUUUAGGUUGGAUAUUAGGAAGAACUUCUUCACUGAAAGGGUUGUUAGGUAUUGGAAUGGGCUGCCCAGGGAAGUGGUUGAGUCACCAUCCCUGGAGGUCUUCAAAAGAUAUUUAGAUGUAGA